rnacentral:rRNA from 1 species
AAAGAACGCUGGCGGCAGGCCUAACACAUGCAAGUCGAGCGAGGACUUCGGUCCUAGCGGCGGACGGGGGAGUAACGCGUGGGAACGUGCCCUUUGGUUCGGAAUAGCCCCGGGAAACUGGGAGUAAUACCGGAUAAGCCCUACGGGUGCAAGCCUUAUCGCUAAAGGAUCGGCCCGCGUUGGCGUAGGUAGUUGGUGGGGUAAUGGCCUACCAAGUCGACGAUCCAUAGCUGGCUUGAGAGGAUGAGCAGCCACACUGGGACUGAGACACGGCCCAGACUCCUACGGGAGGCAGCAGUGGGGAAUCUUAGACAAUGGGGGAAACCCUGAUCUAGCCAUGCCGCGUGAGCGAUGAAGUCCUAACGGAUGUAAACCUCUUUUGUAUGGGAACAAAUUUUUGAGUCAACCGUACGAAUAAGGACCGGCUAAUCACGCCCCAGCAGCCGCCGUAAUAC